rnacentral:rRNA from 1 species
GACGAACGCUGGCGGCGUGCUUAACACAUGCAAGUCGAACGGAAAGGCCCUGCUUUUGUGGGGUGCUCGAGUGGCGAACGGGUGAGUAACACGUGAGUAACCUGCCCUUGACUUUGGGAUAACUUCAGGAAACUGGGGCUAAUACCGGAUAGGAGCUCCUGCUGCAUGGUGGGGGUUGGAAAGUUUCGGCGGUUGGGGAUGGACUCGCGGCUUAUCAGCUUGUUGGUGGGGUAGUGGCUUACCAAGGCUGUGACGGGUAGCCGGCCUGAGAGGGUGGCCGGCCACAUUGGGACUGAGGUACGGCCCAGACUCCAACGGGAGGCAGCGGUGGGGAAUAUUGCACAAUGGGCGGGAGCCUGAUGCAGCAACGCCGCGUGCGGGAUGACGGCCUUCGGGUUGUAAACCGCUGUCGCCUGUGACGAAGCGUGAGUGACGGUAAUGGGUAAAGAAGCACCGGCUAACUACGUG